UGUAGCUCAGUUGGUAGAGUGCUUGUCUAGCAUGCAUGAAGCCCUGGGUUCAAUCCCAAGCA
rnacentral:tRNA from 1 species